CUCUGCAUUCACUAUACUGACACACACUCUGCAUUUACUAUACUGACACACACUCUGCAUUCACUACACUAACAUACACUCUGCAUUAACUAUACACACAGCAUCCACUACACAAACAUCCUGUAUUCACAGUACACACACUACAUCCACCACAAAUUGAAACACUCUGCAUUCACUAUACACAGACACUGUGUCUAAUACACACACUACAUCCACUACAGACACUGCAUCCACUAAACACAUUUCAUCUAGUACACACAAACACUACAUCCACUACACAAACACACACUACAUCAAUGUACACAUACUACAUCCACUACUCAAACACACUCUGCGUUCACUAUACACACUGCAUCCGCUACACAAACACACUCUGCAUUCACUGCACAAACAGUAUCUAAUACACACAAACACUACAUCCAUUACACACAUUCUAAUUCACUUCCACUAAACCCACCACAUUCAGUCCUGCAUCAUUGUCAGUGGACUAGGUAGUGCGUGGGUGGG